rnacentral:rRNA from 1 species
GACGAACGCUGGCGGCGUGCUUAACACAUGCAAGUCGAACGGUGAAGCACCUUCCUUUUGGUGGGUGUGGAUGAGUGGCGAACGGGUGAGUAACACGUGAGUAACCUGCCCCCUUCUUCUGGAUAACCGCAUGAAAGUGUGGCUAAUACGGGAUAUUCUGUGCCUGCUGCAUGGUGGGUGUGGGAAAGAUGCGCUUGUGGGUGUUUGUGGUGGGGGAUGGGCUCGCGGCCUAUCGGCUUGUUGGUGGGGGGAGGGCCUACCAAGGCGGUGACGGGUAGCCGGCCUGAGGGGCUGGCCCGUCACACUUGGACUGCGGCACGGCCCCGUCCCCUACGGGACGCAGCAGUGUGUUAUACUGCGCGCUGGACGCUAGCCUGAUGCUGCGGCGCCGCGUGAGGGAGGGUGCCCUUCGGGUUGUAAUCCUCUUUCGCCAGUGAAGCAGGCCUGUCCCUUGUGGGUGGGUUGACGGUAGCUAGAUAAGAAGCGCCGGCUAACUACGUG